GGGGGUGACAUGGCUUCGACGUGGGUCGCGAACCUUUGAGUGCAUGCCGAGGAACAGACUACCUCGUAAAUCCAGCUGUAAAAACUAUAGUUGCCAACAACGACAACUACGCACUAGCUGCUUAAACACCAGCCUAGCGCCCUCUGGCCAGAUUGUGCUCGUGCAUCCGGGUCCCAGGGGUCGACUUCACGAGACCGCGGAAGAGGCUUGUUCAGGGUCGCAACCGUUAAAACCUUACUGAACUGGCUGUGAGUUUUCCCUGCCCGUCGGGUAGCGCACAGUGAGAUUAAUGACGGAAUAAGCAUGUAGACCUCGAAGCAGAGGGCUUGCGGACGCGAGUUCGAUUCUCGCCACCUCCACCA
rnacentral:tmRNA from 1 species